rfam:Ohtaekwangia koreensis strain DSM 25262 genome assembly, contig: LY03DRAFT_scaffold00004.4
GGAUCGGUUUUAUUAAAAACCACAAUGUAUAUAUCAGAAAAAGAAAU